rnacentral:rRNA from 1 species
AGAAUCAACGCUGGCGGCGUGCCUAACACAUGCAAGUCGAACGCGGUUACCCCGCAAGGGGUGACUGAGUGGCAAACGGGUGAGUAACGCGUGGGUGACCUACCUUCGAGUGGGGGAUAACGUUUCGAAAGGAACGCUAAUACCGCAUGACAUCCUGCCUUUGGACAGGCGGAGAGUCAAAGCCGGGGAUCGCAAGACCUGGCGCGUUAAAGAGGGGCCCGCGUCCGAUUAGGCUAGGUUGGUUGGGUAACGGCUCACCAAGGCGACGAUCGGUA